AAUGAGUUUGCUGUGUGAACAGGUUUACUGUUUGGGGAAGAGGGUGGUAAGACAGCAGAGAUCAAGGGCAGACAAGAAAAUGAUGGGGAAUAUUGAGAAGGAAUGAUAAAGAGGGAGAGGAAGACAGUGAUAAAAAGCUGUGAUGGUCCCUCUGAGGAGAUGACAUUUUAGUUGACAUUUGAAGCCCAAAUGUCAAGAGUGAAGCUGCCACAUGAAGACUUGGGCAGAGUCUCAGGUUCUUGUCCUUGCCUUUCUGUCUCCUUCCUGAGACUCACAACCUCUUCAGCCAUUGCCACAUCAAAAUGCCACACAACCAUCCAACUGCUGAAUCAGAUACCCACCUCUAUCUCUCCCUGUAAACCAUAUUCCCAGACAGAAGGACAGAAGGACAGAAGGACAGAAGGCAGUCCUUCUUCCGUCUCUGCUCCAACUUCCGGGUACCCUUGGAAUGGCCACACAGCCUCCUGAUUAGUUUCCCUGUCUCCACUCUCGUCUUUCUUUCCCCACAUCUCAUAAUUAUUCUUCCUCUAGCAGUUGAAUUGUGCUGAUCAAUACGGUAACUGCCAGCCACAUGUGAGUCUUUAAAAGGAAAGUAAUUAGAGAAUCCAAUUAAGCAUUCAGUUUCUCAAGCACGUGUUUCAAGUGGUCAACAGCCAUGUGGCCAGUGACUACCAUUCUUGACAAUAUAUCCAUAGGACAGGGCAUCAAGGCAGGAAACUCAUUCUGAAAUAAAGAAUUAGAGAAAUGAAAUACUAGGUUCUCUCUCUCUCUCUCUCUCUCUCUCUCUCUCUCUCUCUCUCUGCUCCCCCACCCUGCUCAAGAGUGCAAACAUUUUCAUAUCUCCUUUGGAUUCAGCUUCAAAUCUCACUCCUCCAGAGCCUCCCAGUCUGCUCCUUACCUGCUCAGACCAGAUCACCCACUUCCCUUCCUUGACUAUAAAGUCUGUAGUCAGACUCCAUGUUCUAUUUCUAGGACACAAGAUAUUGCACACUCCUUGGAGGUUUUUACAAGAAUUUACACCUUGGGUUGCCUUUCUACAGAAUGUCCAUGUUCCUUUCUCCAGCACAGCACAAACCUUUGUGUUGGGUAUUCAUUCAUAGCAGUUGCCAUUUUGAUCUCAAAAUACACAUGACAGCAUUCUGCUAUAGGAGGUUCUAAAAGUGAAAGCUUUGCCUGCCUAGAAAUGUGUCUGACUUAUAGUUAGGUCAGUUACUAUUUAUUUUAAGAAUGAACUAAUCAGCAUAAGAAAGCGGAACUGGGAGAGACUUCUUUGCUUGAACUUAAGGAAAGGCCUUCUUUUCCUUGGGUGACUUUGGCCAUGAGCAUCUUUGAUAAGUGAGUCUCAUAGUGGGUUGAUCAAUUCUGGGCAGGAGGAGCAGCAAGUAUGUGUCUGGGGGAAAACAAGGAAAGGAAUAACAAAAGCCACGACUGGAGUGUUUAAAGCACAUUUUAUGAAGGAGACCUUGUAUGUAUGUAUAUAUGUGUGUGUACGCGCGUGAGCGUGCAUGUGUGUGCGCGAGUGUGUGUGUGUGUUUGUGUAUAGUGUGUGUGUAUAGUGUGUGUAUGUGUGUGGUCUGUGUGUGUAUGUGUGUAUGUGUAUGUGUGUGGUCUGUGUGUGUGUAUGUGUGUAUAGUAUGUGUGUGUAUAGUGUGUGGUCUGUGUGUGUGUAUGUGUGUAUGUGUGGUGUGUGUGUGUGUGUGUGUGUGUGUGUGUGUGUGUGUUAAGAAAGGUGGGCAGGUCACAGAUCACAUGAGCCCAAGAAAGUCACAAAAAGGAAAUUAUAUUUUAUUCCAAGUUCAGUAGGAAGCCAUGGGAGGUUUUUAAACAGGGGGAAAUAGCACAUUUAUGAUUUAUUCACCCUUUACCAUUUUAUUUUCUUGCCUUUAUGAGUAAGUCUGUUUUUAACAGUUUUUUUACCUCAGGUAGAGGACUUGGGGAUAGUUUUAGCUUUGAGACUCUUUCCCAAGGGACAAUACUUCUUUCCAGACAAUACUCUUCAAGAGCAAUUAGGCCCCAGCACACUUUGACUCUUUGAAUAGCCUUCUGAUAUGCACUGUUGCUAAGUUUGAAGGUUAAAAUCCUUGGCUUGCUCCAGAAGGUGACAGAGGCCCUUACUAAAACUAAUUAGCAACAAUUCAAAGUGGUGGAUUACAGCCAUUUGUGAGGGUUUUGAAAUGCAAAUAAAAAAUCCUUGCCGGUUCUUCCCUUAAAACGGUGGGGGAUGGGAAGGGUGGGGGAUGGGGGCACACCUCUGGGACUCCUGCUUGGUCUUAAAGUUCCUCUCUCUGAGAUCACAUGGCCUCCUCAUGGAGACACAUAUGACCACAGCACAGGUCCUUAACUUGUUCUCUCUUUUUCUUAAGACAAAAUUGUGGGAAAUGUGUUAGAAUUUUCCAAAAUGUUCCCUCAGUUCUAAGUUGCUGCUCAGGAUACCUUAGGAAAUGUGUGCAUUCUGGAAACAGCUACAACAUAAACUUUAUAGUAAAAAUGCCUAUCUAUGCCAAAGAAGGGACCCCAUUUUAGAGACAUUGAAAUGUGAAGCAAGUCUGUCUGUUAUCUAUUGAUACAUCGAUCUUUAUCUAUCAUAACUUACUUGUGAUCUAUCUGUGCAGGUUUGAAUGAGAACACUGCCCCUGCCUCCCAGUUGGUAGAACUGGUUGGAACAAUUAGGAGGUGUGGCCUCGUUGAAGGAGGUGUGGCCUUGUUGAAGGAGGUGUGGCCUUGUUGAAGGAGGUGUGGCCUUGUUGAAGGAGGUGUGUCACUAGUCUGGGCUUUGAGGUUUAUACCAUUCCCAGUAUAUUCUGCCUCCUCCUUGACGAUCAGGAUGUGCGUCCUCAGCCUUUCCCGCUGUCAUCGUAGACUCACUCGAAUGCUGAGACUGUCAGCUCAAUCAAAUACUUUCCUUUAUUACUUUCCACUUUGUUUUCUGAGGCAAGAACACAGAUUGGCUAAACUGGCUGACCAGUAAGCUGCUGGGAUCCUCUUGUCUCUGACUCUUAGUGUUGGAUUCCAUAAUAUGCCACUGUGUUCAACUUGACAGUUCAAAUUAAGGCCCUCAUGCUUGAACAGCAAGUACAUUACCCAUUAAGUUACCCUCAAGCCUUGGCAUGUAUGUAUGUAUGUAUGAAUGUAUGUAUGUAUGUAUGUAUGUAUGUAUGUAUGUAUGUAUGUAUCCAUCCAUCCACCCAUCCAUCCACCCAUCAUCUAUCUAUCUAUCCUUUCUUCUGCACAUCAUUAUCCAUUUGUAUCUUUUUUUAAUGAAAUAUCAUGGUUAGAAUGAUAUCUAAAUGUAUCUAAAGGGCCAUAUGACAGAGACUUGCUUUCUUAUCCAUGGCAUUGUGAGGUGUGGUAGAACCUCUAAGAGACUGGGUUCCAGUCCAAGCAUGGAUCCUGGUCAUUCAUGGGAAGUGAGUCCUUGACUCUGACUGGUGCUGUUGAUACAUUCUGAAUGCGGGUUUUUAAUUGCAUGAUUUCAUUUAUUAAAACCUUUUAUUUUUUUCGUCCUAUGAGCCAAGGAUAGUCUUGCCUCUUAGCUGUCUGAGACAAUGUGUGUGUACUUACUGCUCAAGAAUCAAUAAAUUGUAUUGCUAGGCUUGAAGCAUGGGACAGAUAUCAGCCAGAAGGGACACAUGGAAGAAAACUUAGUGGGUAAUUAUGUCAGCUCUGUAGCAAAUUCUUUUCUGUUACUUUGGAGCUGUGCAGUCCCAGGUAAGUUCCUUAACCUCGCUGAGUCUGCUUCCUCAAUGCCCUAAAAUGGGCUGAACAAGUUCUCAACCUCAUAUCUAUAGUUCCUAUGGCCAAAUGUAUUUCUGAAAUCAUAUUUACUGCAUUCUUUAAGGAAGGCCUAUGCCAUCCAGUAAAUAACAUUCCAGCAAAGGCUGGGUGGCACUCUCAAAUCAAGUACACUGGUAUUUUGAAGCAAGAAGUAUGUAUAUACUAUGUUGUGCUACACGUGUGUGGUUCCUGCAUUUAGGAGGCAUUCAGGAGAAUGGCGAGGUUGAGAUUAGCUUGCACAAUGACUCCCUAUAUCAGAAAAAAAUCUAAGUAAAUAAACAUUUUUAAAUAGAAUGCAGCAAAUAAAAUUUUAUCAAACUUUUAAAAGAAUCUUUGAUUUCUAAACCCUUGGGGAUUUGGAGUUAUUAGGAUGGGGUUAGACAUCUGCACCUGACUCAUGGAACGACUUCAUGGCUUGUAUGAAGGUAAAAUGUUCACUGAUCACUAUAUAGGCCAUGGUGGAGUGCUCAGGCCUAUCCCAAUACAGUUGCAAAUGUGUUUUCAAAUUAUUCCAAUUGAGUGGAGCUGAUUGGGGGCGUUCUCAGAGUCUGAUGGUCUUGGCUGGUCUGGCUUGCGGCCAGGACUCCUGGUUUCUGAGGUUCUCUUCCGCAGCCCUGUAGACCUGGCUGUCCUGGCACUGAGCUCCCAUCAGCCACAUACUGUGUAUUGGCUGGCUUUCAGUUGUUCCAGUAGACAAGGAAGGAACUAAAUCAGAAGGCUGUCUUCCCAUCCCACCCCUAGGUGGAAUCAUCCUUUUUGCUGAUCUUUUCCCUUUUUAUGGCUAUGAAAUAAGGAGAAAAUUGAGAACAAUAGCAACAACCAAAAGAGCGUUUUCCUCAAGGCGAGCGUAUGUGUGACACUCCAUUAACGCUAAGUGACAUCUUCUUCCGUCUCGCAGGAAUCAACACAAUAUUCAUGUUAGCCAGUCAUCGGCGGAGCCACAAGCGGAGGAUGUCUUGUCACUUCCCAUCGUUUCAGUCAUUUUCGGGCAAGUGACGUGUGAGUUCCACUUGGACACAGUCAGUCAUUUCCCAAGUGAUCAAUGGAGCGUCUGCUGCUCAGAGGAGAGGCCAGGCAGGACCCACAGAAUAGAACCCAAGUGCCUGACUCAUAAGGCUUUGAAUGGACACAAAUGGUAGGGAUUUGAGGCCAUGGGGAGGUUCUAUCUGGCCUUCUCAGUUGGUCCAACCCUUCCAAGGAUGUGUCCGUUUGUGACUUCAUUCGGAAUAUUGGUUGUGUUCAUUCCCACAUUCCAGUCUCCAUCCAUCUAUUCAUCCAUCCUUCCGUCUGUCCACCCUUUUCUCCAUCGGAGUCCUGGGUGGUAGCUCUGAGGUCAGACUAGGGGAUACAAAGGCAAACAAGGAUUGAUAUUACCCCAAAGGAGCUCUUAGAGAAAGGGACAAGACCACCAGUGGGAACCAUCAGUCAGGAGUAGACAUCACACAGUCGGGAACCUGAGAGGAAAGUGCACACAGUUCCUUCAGGGUUGUCCAUAGCAGUAGAUGGAAGAGAUAAAUGAGUUCCUCAAGAACUCCACAACACUAGAACAGCAGGUUGCAACGGGGAGAGCAGAGCAAGCCUGGGGAACAGUAUGUGGCAGCCUUGAUGUUCAAAGGGUGAAUACACGGUCAGCCCUAGCUAGGGUAGAGGGCCUGAAGGGGCAUUUGUCUUGCCUGAUAAAGUAUACAAGGAACAGACUGGGGCCCAGGUGUCCAGCAUCUCUGAGUACAGCCUUAGAAUUGGGUUCUGUCUUAAUGCCUGUGACUGGCUUGUCAUCUAUUGAUGGAAGGGUUCAGGCAGGAGCUUGUGAGUCUUGGUUUUAAUUUUUAAAGUUCUUCAUGACAUCUGGCAGAGCCUGGGCUUGGACGAUGUAAGACUGGAGAAGGACAGUGCUGCCCACUUGCAACAGGUAUUCGUGAGCUCCUCAAACCACCAGCUGCAUCAUCCUGUUCCCUAGAGGGGAUACAGUCGGACGUUCCUAGCAAGUCCUCAGUCAGUGGAGAGGUGUCCAUUUGCAUUCUUGGCCUGUGUUUAUUUAAGAUGUGGAUUUGUGUGUGCAGUUGGAACUUCAGGCCGGCAGCUUCUGCACUUGUGGGUUCAGCUAACUGCAGAUGGAAGAUCCUCUCAACAAUCAGCACAGCGGAGUGAACGAGACCAGAUGCCUUUUUUCUUACCAUUAUCUCCUAAACAAUACAGUCUGACAUGGUUUGCAUAGCA